GUGGAACAGAGCGAGUGCAGCGGGUUGGAGAGAACUCGCUGAACGCUGGAUGGCGAGUCAAAUACCAUUGGAUCCCUGGGUUCUUAUAGAAGACCAUGAAGCACCCAUGUAAACACGUCAGCCAAUAAACGCAUAUCGUCUUUCGCAUCACGCGACUCUCUCUCUCUCUCUCUCUCUGCCCCAAUACAAUAGAAGAAUAGGAAACCACAGAUCCUGCGUAUAAAAGCGAGCGUGGGAUAGACCGCAGUUAAAGAUGAUGAUGUCGACGAUGUCACCACCACCACAACGUUCGGUCUGCUUGCGCCGGAGGUGCACACAGGAGAAUUAUUUCAAAUUGGGGGGAGGGACUUCAUGCCUAACAUGAGGUCCGAUUAGGCUCCGCUAAUUUCAAAAUUAGGGGGAGCAUCGCCCGCAUUAUUCAAAAUUGGGGAGGGACGUGAAUUCAUGUCAAACAUGAAUUCUGAUUAGGCUUAAUGGGGAAUUGUGGGGCGUCCCCCGCCCCAGUCAAAAUUGGGAGGGACGAGAAUUCAUGUUCGCCAUGAAUUCUGAUUAGGCUUAAUGGGGUAUUGCGGUGUACCAUCCGCACCACUCAAAAUUGGGAAUGGGUAAGAGAAUUCUGAUUAGGCGCAAUGGGAA